rnacentral:rRNA from 1 species
UUGACCUCAAAUCAGGUAGGACUACCCGCUGAACUUAAGCAUAUCAAUAAGCGGAGGAAAAGAAACUAACAAGGAUUCCCCUAGUAACUGCGAGUGAAGCGGGAAAAGCUCAAAUUUAAAAUCUGGCAGUCUUGCUGUCCGAGUUGUAAUCUAGAGAAGUGCUUUCCGCGUUGGACCGUGUAAAAGUCUCUU